rnacentral:sRNA from 1 species
GAUUCUGCCCUACGGGGAAGGAUGAGAAGCUUCGACUAAGGUUCGACUCGAGCGCCAGCGAGAGAACGUUGCCGCAGGCAACGGCCCGAAGGGCGAGGAGCGAUAGCGACGAGUUAUCCUUCCCCCACCACCA